rnacentral:misc_RNA from 1 species
AGUUCGAUUCUGGCUCAGAUUGAACGUUGGCGGGAUGCUUUACACAUGCAAGUCGAACGGCAGCACGGACUUCGGUCUGGUGGCGAGUGGCGAACGGGUGAGUAAUGUAUCGGAACGUGCCUAGUAGCGGGGAUAACUACGCGAAAGGUAACUAAUACCGCAUACCGCCCCUUCGGGGAAAGCGGGGACCUUUCGGGCCUCGCACUAUUAGAGCGGCCGAUAUCGAUUAGUUAGUUGGUGGGGUAACGGCUCACCAAGGCGACGAUCCGUAGCUGGUCGGUUUUGAGGAGAGUGACGACCAGCCACACUGGGACUGGAGACAUGGCCCAGACUCCUACGGGAGGCAGCAGUGGGGAAUUUUGGACAAUGGGGAAACCCUGAUCCAGUCAUCCGCGUGUGCGAUGAAGGCCUUGCCAAAGCACUUUUGGCGGGAAAAGAAACGGCACGGGGAUAAUACCCGUGCGCAACUGACGGUACCUGCAGAAUAAGCACCGGCUAACUACGUGCCAGCAGCCGCGGCAAUAAUACGUAGGGUGCAAGCGUUAAUCGUGGGAAUUACUGGGCGUAAAGCGUGCGCAGGCGGUUCGGAAAGAAAGAUGCAAAUCCUG